rnacentral:rRNA from 1 species
ACGGAGAUAAGCAUAUCAAUAAGCGGAGGAAAAGAAACCAACAGGGAUUGCCUCAGUAACGGCGAGUGAAGCGGCAACAGCUCAAAUUUGAAAUCUGGCCCUUUCAGGGUCCGAGUUGUAAUUUGCAGAGGAUGCUUUGGGUUCGGCUCCGGUCUAAGUUCCUUGGAACAGGACGUCAUAGAGGGUGAGAAUCCCGUAUGUGAUCGGCCGUCUCGCCCGUGUGAAGCUCCUUCGACGAGUCGAGUUGUUUGGGAAUGCAGCUCAAAAUGGGUGGUAAAUUUCAUCUAAAGCUAAAUAUUGGCCAGAGACCGAUAGCGCACAAGUAGAGUGAUCGAAAGAUGAAAAGCACUUUGGAAAGAGAGUCAAACAGUACGUGAAAUUGUUGAAAGGGAAGCGCUUGCAACCAGACUUGCCCGCGGGUGAUCAGCCGGUAUUCGUACCGGUGCACUCGCCCGUGGUCAGGCCAGCAUCGGUUUGGGCGGCUGGAUAAAGUCCACCGGAAUGUAGCUCCUCUCGGGGAGUGUUAUAGCCGGAGGUGCCAUGCAGCCCGCCCGGACCGAGGACCGCGCUUCGGCUAGGAUGCUGGCGUAAUGGUUGUAAGCGACCCGUCUU